rnacentral:rRNA from 1 species
UACGUAGGUGGCAAGCGUUGUCCGGAAUUAUUGGGCGUAAAGCGCGCGCAGGUGGUUCUUUAAGUCUGAUGUGAAAGCCCACGGCUCAACCGUGGAGGGUCAUUGGAAACUGGGGAACUUGAGUGCAGAAGAGGAAAGUGGAAUUCCACGUGUAGCGGUGAAAUGCGUAGAGAUGUGGAGGAACACCAGUGGCGAAGGCGACUUUCUGGUCUGUAACUGACACUGAGGCGCGAAAGCGUGGGGAGCGAAACAGGAUUAGAACCU